GAUGAACGCUGGCGGCGUGCCUAAUACAUGCAAGUCGAGCGAACCGACGAGGAGCUUGCUCCUCUGCCGUUAGCGGCGGACGGGUGAGUAACCCUUGGAUAACCUACCUAUCAGCCUGGGAUAACCUAGGGUAACCGGCGCUAUUACCGGGUACUAUAUUGCACCGCAUGGUUCAAUAUUGACAGCCUGUUUUGCUGUCCCUUAUAGAUGGAUCCGCGCCGCAUUAGCGAGUUGGUAAGGUAACCGCUUACCAAGGCGACGAUGCGUAGCCGACCUGAGAGGGUGAUCGGCCACACUGGAGCUGAGACACGGUCCAGACUCCUACGGGAGGCAGCAGUAGGGAAUCUUGCGCAAUGGGCGAAAGCCUGACGGGGCAACGCCGCGUGAGUGAUGAAGGUCUUCGGAUCGUAAAACGCUGUGAUUAGUGAAGAACAAAUGUGUAAGGAACUAUGCACGGCUAGACGGUACCUAAGCAGAAAGCCACGGCUAACUACGUG
rnacentral:rRNA from 1 species